rnacentral:lncRNA from 1 species
CUUCCCAGUCCAUCCCAGUCCAUCCCAGUCCCCUCCCAGUCCAUCCCAGUCCAUCCCAGUCCAUCCCAGUUCCCUCCCAGUCCCUCCCAGUCCAGCCCAGUCCAUCCCAGUCCCUCCCAGUCCAUCCCAAUCCCAUCCCAGUCCAUCCCAGUCCCUCCCAGUCCAUCCCAGUCCAUUCCCAGUCCCUCCCAGUCCCCUCCCAGUCCCUCCCAGUCCAUCCCAGUCCAUCCCAGUCCAUCCCAGUCGCUCCCAGUCCAUCCCAGUCCCUCCCAGUUUCCCCAGUCCCACCUGGGGCUGGUGUUGGCCGAGGGGUGGAAGGAGGCGAACAUCCGGAUGGGGGGGCUGGGGAAGGGGACCCCAAAAAUCACCCAAAAAACCCCAAAAAUCCACCCCAAAAAUACCCAAAAACCCACCCCAAAAUCACCCAAAAACAACCACAAAUCCACCCCCAAAAUACCCAAAAUUCACCCAAAACCACCCAAAUUCACAGCAAAAAUCACCCCAAAAUCAUCCAAAAUCACCCCAAAAUCAUCCAAAACCACCCCAAAAAUCACCCAAAAAUCCACCCCAAAAAUACCCCAAAUUCACUCCAAAUCCACCCAAAAAUCACCCAAAAAACUUCACCCAAAAACACCCAAAACCACCCCAAAAAUCACCAAAAAAUCCACCCAAAAUCACCCAAAAAAUCAAACAAAAACACCCAAAAAUCACAAAAAUCUACCCAAAAUUCAUUCAAAAUCCACCCAAAAAUCAUCACCCAAAACCACCCAAAUUCACCCCAAAAAUCACCCAGAAAUCACCCAAAAACACUCAAAAAACACCCCAAAUCACCCAAAAAUCACCCAAAAUCACCCAAAAACACCCAAAAAUCAUCCAAAUUCACCCCAAAAACACUAAAAAUCACCCCAAAAAAUCACCAAAAAAUCACCCAAAAAUCAUCACCCAAAACCACCCAAAAAUCACCCAAAAUCACCCCAAAAACACUCAAAAAUCUCUGAAAAAACCCACCCUAAAUUACCCAAAAUCACCCAAAAAUCACCCAAAAUCCACCCCAAAUCCACUUAAAAAUUCCUCCCCCAAAAAAACCCCAAAAUCACCCAAAAAUUCCCCCAAAUCCCCCCCAAAAUUCUCCAAAAUUACGCCAAAAUCAGCCCAAAAUCCCAUAAAUUCCCCCCAAAUUCCCCCCAAAUCCCAAAAUUCCCCCAAAUUCCACAAAUUCCCCCAAAUUCCUCCCAAAU